UUUUGAUUGUUUCAUUGGGAUUACUUUUUGUUUGUUUUUAAUACUGUCCUCUCUCAUUAAGCUAUGAAGAUGUCCAUCCCUCCCAGUCAGAAUCGGAUGUUCUUCAAAGACAGACAUUCACAGCCUCUCACCAGCUUCCUGGAUAUGCCGCCACUCCUCAAGCAACUGGCAUGCAUUCCUCAACAGCAGCUGAGCUGUUUGUUACAGGACCCUUGCCAACCAGCGGAACACUUCCACCACCGACUUUGUCUGCUUAUCAGCAUCCAGCUUCCUUUAGCAACAGAAACUUUGUGACCACCUCACCUUUGGUGCUUCAAGAUUCAUCUUUUAACACUACAUCAAAUGGAAUUUUAAACCCUCAUGACCCUUUGCUACAAAUUAAG
rnacentral:lncRNA from 1 species